rnacentral:rRNA from 1 species
UACGAAGGGGGCUAGCGUUGUUCGGAUUUACUGGGCGUAAAGCGCACGUAGGCGGAUCGUUAAGUCGGGGGUGAAAUCCUGGAGCUCAACUCCAGAACUGCCUUCGAUACUGGCGAUCUUGAGUCCGGGAGAGGUGAGUGGAACUGCGAGUGUAGAGGUGAAAUUCGUAGAUAUUCGCAAGAACACCAGUGGCGGAGGCGGCUCACUGGCCCGGUACUGACGCUGAGGUGCGAAAGCGUGGGGAGCAAACAGG